rnacentral:rRNA from 1 species
AAUGAACGUUGGCGGCGUGGAUUAGGCAUGCAAGUCGAGCGAGAACCGUAGCAAUACGGGGACAGCGGCGCAAGGGACAGUAAUGUGUAGAUCAUCUGCCCUCAGGUCGGGAUAGCUGCGGGAAACUGCAGGUAAUACCGGAUGACAUCUCCGGAUCAAAGGUGUGAUUCCGCCUGAGGAUGAGUCUGCAUCCUAUUAGCUAGUUGGUAGGGUAAUGGCCUACCAAGGCUUUGAUGGGUAGCGGGUGUGAGAGCACGACCCGCGUCAUUGGGACUGAGACACUGCCCAGACACCUACGGGUGGCUGCAGUCGAGAAUCUUCGGCAAUGGGCGCAAGCCUGACCGAGCGACGCCGCGUGUGGGAUGAAGGCCUUCGGGUUGUAAACCACUGUCAGAGGGGAUGAAAUGCAGGUGGGUUCUCCCAUCUGUUUGACAUAGCCUCAGAGGAAGGACGGGCUAAGUUCGUGCCAGCCGCCGCGGUAAUAC